AGGUGGCACGCGGGCACGGCGCUUCGGAGCUGUUGGUCUGAGAUAUACCGGUGAACUUGAUCUGGAUAAUACCAGCGAAAGGAUUUGCUUCUUGGAACCC
rnacentral:ncRNA from 13 species